rnacentral:rRNA from 1 species
GAACGAACGCUGGCGGCAGGCCUAACACAUGCAAGUCGAACGUGAAGCCAGAGCUUGCUCUGGUGGAAAGUGGCAGACGGGUGAGUAACGCGUGGGAAUUUGCCCAGUGGUACGGAAUAACUCAGGGAAACUUGUGCUAAUGCCGUAUACGCCCUCCGGGGGAAAGAUUUAUCGCCAUUGGAUAAGCCCGCGUCGGAUUAGCUUGUUGGUGAGGUAAAAGCUCACCAAGGCGACGAUCCGUAGCUGGUCUGAGAGGAUGAUCAGCCACACUGGGACUGAGACACGGCCCAGACUCCUACGGGAGGCAGCAGUGGGGAAUAUUGCACAAUGGGCGCAAGCCUGAUGCAGCCAUGCCGCGUGAGUGACCAAGGCCUUAGGGUUGUAAAACUCUUUCACCGGUGAAGAUAAUGACGGUAGCCGGAGAAGAAGCCCCGGCUAACUCCGUGCCAGCAGCCGCGGUAAUACGGAGGGGGCUAGCGUUGUUCGGAAUUACUGGGCGUAAAGCGCGCGUAGGCGGACCUGCAAGUCGGGGGUGAAAGCCCGAGGCUCAACCUCGGAACUGCCUUCGAUACUGCGGGUCUUGAGUCCGGGAGAGGUGAGUGGAAUUCCUAGUGUAGAGGUGAAAUUCGUAGAUAUUAGGAAGAACACCAGUGGCGAAAGGCGGCUCACUGGCUCGAUACUGACGCUGAGCGCGAAAAGCGUGGGGGAGCAAACAGAUAGAUACCUGGUAGUCCACGCCGUAAACGAUGAAUGCUAGCCGUCGGGAAGCUUGCUUUUCGGUGGCGCAGCUAACGCAUUAAGCAUCCGCCUGGGGAGUACGGUCGCAAGAUUAAAACUCAAAGGAAUUGACGGGGCCCGCACAAGCGGUGGAGUAUGUGGUUUAAUUCGAUGCAACGCGAAGAACCUUACCUGCUCUUGACAUCCCGAUCGCGGUUUCCAGAGAUGGAUCCCUUCAGUUCGGCUGGAUUGGUGACAGGUGCUGCAUGGCUGUCGUCAGCUCGUGUCGUGAGAUGUUGGGUUAAGUCCCGCAACGAGCGCAACCCUCGCCAUUAGUUGCCAGCAGUAAGUUGGGCACUCUAAUGGGACUGCCGGUGUCAAACCGGAGGAAGGUGGGGAUGACGUCAAAUCAUCAUGGCCCUUACGGGCUGGGCUACACACGUGCUACAAUGGCGGUGACAGUGAGCAGCCACUCAGCAAUGGGGAGCUAAUCUCUAAAAGCCGUCUCAGUUCGGAUUGUUCUCUGCAACUCGAGAGCAUGAAGUUGGAAUCGCUAGUAAUCGUGGAUCAGCAUGCCACGGUGAAUACGUUCCCGGGCCUUGUACACACCGCCCGUCACACCACGGGAGUUGGUUGUACCAGAAGCAGUUGAGCUAACUUCGGAGGCAGCAGGCCACGGUAAGGUCAGCGACUGGGGU